rnacentral:rRNA from 1 species
CAGCAGCCGCGGGAAAACGUAUAACACAAGCGUUAUCCGGAUUUAUUGGGCGUAAAGCGCGUCUAGGUGGUUAUGUAAGUCUGAUGUGAAAAUGCAGGGCUCAACUCUGUAUUGCGUUGGAAACUGUGUAACUAGAGUACUGGAGAGGUAAGCGGAACUACAAGUGUAGAGGUGAAAUUCGUAGAUAUUUGUAGGAAUGCCGAUGGGGAAGCCAGCUUACUGGACAGAUACUGACGCUGAAGCGCGAAAGCGUGGGUAGCAAACAGGAUUAGAUACCCCAGUAGUCCCUGUCUCUUAUACC